AGUGGAAGUAGCAAGGGGAAGC
rnacentral:miRNA from 1 species